CGAAUUGGUAUUUUAAUUUCACAAAUCAGUUCUCUUUGGAAUAAACCUUCAAGCAUUUAAUAAACACAUUAAGAGAUAAACAAGGUUUAAAGGUUGUGUUCUCAUGUAGCAAACAAACUGUAAAAACUCCAAAACAUAUUCAUAGCUGUCAAAUCACACCUACUUAAAAUAGCCUAUGCAUCAAGGUGACAGACUGAGAAAAGGAAGUGUUUACAUCCUAUUUCAUUUGCAACGGCUAGUUUAGUGAUUCGUGUAGUCUAACUAUUGAAGUUCAAACUACGCACAUGUACAGUAGAUUUAUUUUUAUACUGGUGUUUUUGCUGAAUCUGUCAUACUGUACAUCUGCAUCUUUUGCAUACUUGUCAAUCAUUGCACUCUGAACACAUACAGACUGUAUAUUCUACUUUUAUUGUAACUGGUAGACAAGUUUAAUACAGCAACCCCCCAGACUGUGCAGUGUCUUGAAAGAUAAAAACAGUUUUUUGAAAACUGACGUAGAAAAUGUGACGUCCAUAUUCUCUGAACCGUUCCUCGUGGGACUUGAGGGUUUUUCACUAGAACUUUAAUUACAGUAUGCCAUGCCUCAGAUCAUUCUCAGAUUGUAUACCUUGUGAGGAAGUAAGACAAUCAGCCUUAUGUUAUGAAAAACUUCUGUAUGUCUGAACUUCCUGGGUUCAGACAUCAUUGUGCUGGGAUCUGAAUAAUUACAUCACUGAUCGUAUUUCUUCUCUUCCACGACCCGGGCUUUUUUUCUUUUUAGAGAGCCCUGCAGCAGAGGAGGGAUUUGCCUGGGCAUGUAAAACUCUCAUGCUACAUACUGGUUUGCUCUUUUUUUCUCACAGUAGCAGUGCCAUUGUAUCAACAUUUCUUGUAUCAUGAGUUAUUUUAAUAUUACUUGCUGUCUUAUCUUUCAUAUAGGCUAUUGCUUUAUAAUACAUAUUCAUGAUACUAUAUCAGUGUUAUUUUAGCAUUAUUUAUUAUACUAUUAAUAUUUAUUAACAUUUUUGAAAUUGAAUGUCUCUUUCUUUAUGUUUUAGUUUAAAGGGAUAGUUCACCUUCAGUUGCUGUCCCACUGAUUUCCAUAACAUGGAGAAAAAAAAAAACACUAUGCAAGUCAAUGGGGACCAGCAACUGAAGGUUAUGUUUAUUAUUAUUAUUAUCAUUAUUAUCAUUGUUGUUAUUAUUAUUAUUUAGUAUUUUUUAUAACUCUAUUUAGCUUUAAUUUAUUUGAUUUCAGUUUGAGUAAUU
ensembl:lncRNA